UUGUUAGAAAUUUCUCUUUAUUUUACUAGACUGAUUCUUUGAAGCUGUCCUAUGCUAUUAGUAGUAGGUUUAACUGAACAGCUGAUAGGCUACUAAUAGGACACUAAAAUAAAAAAAUCUUACAUAUUAUCAUAAGGUUCAUCCAAUGGUCAUUAUAAACAAAGCAGGAUUUCAUAGUCACAAUUUAACUACUAGUACCCUAAUACAUUAGAAUGUUAAGCAUUAAAUCAUAUAUUAUAUCAAACAAUACUUAAAGCCAUUCUUUCAUUGUACUAUCAAAAGUUUCUUUCUAAUUUGGUUUAAGAUCUAGUUAUUUAAAUUAGACCUGCCCAGUUCCCUUAUAAAAAAAAAAAAGUAUUGGGAUUGUCAUAAAAAAACAAACUAAAUAUACAGUCAUGUA